GAUGAACGCUGGCGGCGUGCCUAAUACAUGCAAGUCGAGCGAACAGACGAGGAGCUUGCUCCUCUGACGUUAGCGGCGGACGGGUGAGUAACACGUGGAUAACCUACCUAUAAGACUGGGAUAACUUCGGGAAACCGGAGCUAAUACCGGAUAAUAUAUUGAACCGCAUGGUUCAAUAGUGAAAGACGGUUUUGCUGUCACUUAUAGAUGGAUCCGCGCCGCAUUAGCUAGUUGGUAAGGUAACGGCUUACCAAGGCAACGAUGCGUAGCCGACCUGAGAGGGGGGUAGGCCACCCCGGAAGGUGAACACGGGCCCUGGCCCUGAGGGAGGGCGCAGACUGGAAAGUGUCGCAAAAGGGGGAAAGCUGGAGGAAGCAACGCCGGGGGGGUGAAGAAGGGCUGCGUGCGGAAAAACGGCCUUUUGGGGGAAAACCAAUUGUGAAAGUAACUAUGCGCGUUUGACGGUAACCUAUAAAGAAGCACCGGCUAACUACGUG
rnacentral:rRNA from 1 species